rnacentral:rRNA from 1 species
GCAAUCUACCUUUUGCAGAGGGAUAGCCCAGAGAAAUUUGGAUUAAUACCUCAUAGUAUAACACAACCGCAUGGUUGAGUUAUUAAAGUCACAACGGCAAAAGAUGAGCAUGCGUCCCAUUAGCUAGAUGGUAAGGUAACGGCUUACCAUGGCAACGAUGGGUAGGGGUCCUGAGAGGGAGAUCCCCCACACUGGUACUGAGACACGGACCAGACUCCUACGGGAGGCAGCAGUGAGGAAUAUCGGUCAAUGGGCGCAAGCCUGAACCAGCCAUGCCGCGUGCAGGAUGACGGUCCUAUGGAUUGUAAACCGCUUUUGUACGAGAAGAAACAACAUUACGUGUAAUGUCUUGACGGUAUCGUAAGAAUAAGGAUCGGCUAACUCCGUGCCAGCAGCCGCGGUAAUACGGAGGAUCCAAGCGUUAUCCGGAAUCAUUGGGUUUAAAGGGUCCGUAGGCGGUUUGGUAAGUCAGUGGUGAAAGCCCAUCGCUCAACGGUGGAACGGCCAUUGAUACUGCCAGACUUGAAUAAUUAGGAAGUAACUAGAAUAUGUAGUGUAGCGGUGAAAUGCUUAGAGAUUACAUGGAAUACCAAUUGCGAAGGCAGGUUACUACUAGUUUAUUGACGCUGAUGGACGAAAGCGUGGGUAGCGAACAGGAUUAGAUACCCUGGUAGUCCACGCCGUAAACGAUGGAUACUAGCUGUUGGGGGCAACUUCAGUGGCUAAGCGAAAGUGAUAAGUAUCCCACCUGGGGAGUACGUUCGCAAGAAUGAAACUCAAAGGAAUUGACGGGGGCCCGCACAAGCGGUGGAGCAUGUGGUUUAAUUCGAUG